GUGGGGAAUAUUGGACAAUGGGCGAAAGCCUGAUCCAGCCAUGCCGCGUGUGUGAAGAAGGCCUUUUGGUUGUAAAGCACUUUAAGCGAGGAGGAGGCUACCGAGAUUAAUACUCUUGGAUAGUGGACGUUACUCGCAGAAUAAGCACCGGCUAACUCUGUGCCAGCAGCCGCGGUAAUACAGAGGGUGCGAGCGUUAAUCGGAUUUACUGGGCGUAAAGCGUGCGUAGGCGGCUUUUUAAGUCGGAUGUGAAAUACCUGAGCUUAAAUUAGGAAUUGCAUUCGAUACUGGGAAGCUAGAGUAUGGGAGAGGAUGGUAGAAUUCCAGGUGUAGCGGUGAAAUGCGUAGAGAUCUGGAGGAAUACCGAUGGCGAAGGCAGCCAUCUGGCCUAAUACUGACGCUGAGGUACGAAAGCAUGGGGAGCAAACAGGAUUAGAAACCCCGGUAGUCC
rnacentral:rRNA from 1 species